rnacentral:rRNA from 1 species
GGGUGAGUAACGCGUGGGUGAUCUGUCUCUAAGUUGGGGAUAACCUCUCGAAAGGGGGGCUAAUACCGAAUGUGGUUCCUUGACGCAUGUCAGGGCGACUAAAGGCGGGGACCUUAGGGCCUGUCGCUUGGAGAGGAGCCCGCGUCCGACCAGCUUGUUGGUGAGGUAACGGCUCACCAAGGCUGCGACCGGUAGCUGGUCUGAGAGGAUGGUCAGCCACACUGGGACUGAGAUACUGCCCAGACUCCUACGGGAGGCUGCAGUCGAGGAUCAUUCGCAAUGGGCGAAAGCCUGACGAUGCGACGCCGCGUGGAGGAUGAAGGCCUUCGGGUUGUAAACUCCUGUCAUGAGGGAAAAAUAGUUUCGGCGUUAAUACCGUCGGAGCAUGAUGUUACUUCAAGAGGAAGCCACGGCUAACUCUGUGCCAGCAGCCGCGGUAAUACAGAGGUGGCGAGCGUUGUUCGGAUUCACUGGGCGUAAAGGGUGCGUAGGUGGUUCUGUAAGUCGGAUGUGAAAUCCCGUCGCUUAACGACGGAAUUGCAUUCGAAACUGUGGGACUAGAGUGCAGGAAGGGAGAGCGGAAUUCUUGGUGUAGCGGUGAAAUGCGUUGAUAUCAAGAGGUACACCGGCGGCGAAGGCGGCUCUCUGGAAUGCAACUGACACUGAGGCACGAAAGAUGGGGGAGCAAACAGGAUUAGAUACCCUGGUAGUCCCAUCCGUAAACGGUGUACACUUGGUGUUGAGGGAGUUGACCCCCUCAGUGCCGGAGCUGACGCGUUAAGUGUACCGCCUGGGGAGUACGGCCGCAAGGCUAAAACUCAAAGAAAUUGACGGGGGCCCGCACAAGCGGAGGAGCAUGUGGCUUAAUUCGAUGCAACGCGAAGAACCUUACCAGGGCUUGACAUGCAGCUGCAAGUCCCGUGAAAGCGGGACGCCUUCGAGGGUGCUGCACAGGUGCUGCAUGGCUGUCGUCAGUUCGUGCCGUGAGGUGUUGGGUUAAGUCCCGCAACGAACGCAACCCCUGUGGUUAGUUGCCACCGGCGGUGAUGAGCCGCUGAGCACUCUAGCCAGACUGCCCGUACAAGCGGGAGGAAGGUGGGGACGACGUCAAGUCAGUAUGGCCCUUACGCCCUGGGCUGCACACGUGCUACAAUGGCCGGUACAGAGGGAUGCAAGACCGCGAGGUGGAGCUAAUCCUGAAAACCGGCCCCAGUUCAGAUUGAAGUCUGCAACUCGACUUCAUGAAGUUGGAUUCGCUAGUAAUGGCGCAUCGGCUACGGCGCCGUGAAUACGUUCCCGGGCCUUGUACACACCGCCCGUCACAUCAUGAAAGCCGUCUGCACCCGCAGUCGCCGUACCAACCCGCAAGGGAGGAA